rnacentral:rRNA from 1 species
GAUGAACGCUGGCGGCGUGCCUAAUACAUGCAAGUCGAGCGAACGGACGAGAAGCUUGCUUCUCUGAUGUUAGCGGCGGACGGGUGAGUAACACGUGGAUAACCUACCUAUAAGACUGGGAUAACUUCGGGAAACCGGAGCUAAUACCGGAUAAUAUUUUGAACCGCAUGGUUCAAAAGUGAAAGACGGUCUUGCUGUCACUUAUAGAUGGAUCCGCGCUGCAUUAGCUAGUUGGUAAGGUAACGGCUUACCAAGGCAACGAUGCAUAGCCGACCGGAGAGGGGGAUCGGCCACACGGGAACGUAGACACGGUCCAGACGCCUACGGGAGGCAGCAGUAGGGAAUCUUCCGCAACGGGCGAAAGCAUGACGGAGCAACGCCGCGUGAGUGAUGAAGGUCUUCGGAUCGUAAAACUCUGUUAUUAGGGAAGAACAUAUGUGUAAGUAACUGUGCACAUCUUGACGGUACCUAAUCAGAAAGCCACGGCUAACUACGUG